GAUGAACGCUAGCGAUAGGCUUAACACAUGCAAGUCGAGGGACCGGCGCACGGGUGCGUAACGCGUAUGCAACUUGCCUCACAGAGGGGGAUAACCCGUCGAAAGACGGACUAAUACCGCGUACUGUGAGAUAGGCAUGCGUCCCAUUAGCUAGUUGGUGAGGUAACGGCUCACCAAGGCAACGAUGGGUAGGGGAACUGAGCGGUUGAACCCCCAGAAGGGUACUGAGACCCGGACCAGACUCGUACGGGAGGCAGGAGUGAGGAAUAUUGGGGAAUGGGCGAGAGCCUGAACCAGCCAAGUCGCGUGAAGGAGGACUGUCUAUGGAAUGUAAACUUCUUUUGUAGGGGAAGAUGUACCCUACGAAUAAGCAUCGGCUAACUCCGUGCCAGCAGCCGCGGUAAUUC
rnacentral:rRNA from 1 species